AUUGAACGCUGGCGGCAUGCCUUACACAUGCAAGUCGAACGGUAACAGGUUAAGCUGACGAGUGGCGAACGGGUGAGUAAUGUACCGGAACGUGCCCGGUCGUGGGGGAUAACUACUCGAAAGAGUGGCUAAUACCGCAUACGACCUGAGGGUGAAAGCGGGGGACCGUAAGGCCUCGCGCGAUUGGAGCGGCCGAUAUCAGAUUAGCUAGUUGGUGGGGUAAAAGCCCACCAAGGCGACGAUCUGUAGCUGGUCUGAAAGGACGACUAGCCACACUGGGACUGAGAAACGGCCCAGACUCCUACGGGAGGCAGCAGUGGGGAAUUUUGGACAAUGGACGCAAGUCUGAUCCAGCCAUGCCGCGUGCGGGAAGAAGGCCUUCGGGUUGUAAACCGCUUUUGUCAGGGAAGAAACGAGUUUCUCUAAUACAGAGACUUAAUGACGGUACCUGAAGAAUAAGCACCGGCUAACUACGUGCCAGCCGCCGCGGUAAUAC
rnacentral:rRNA from 1 species